GAAGAGGUAUUACGAUUGAUGCA
rnacentral:siRNA from 1 species